rnacentral:rRNA from 1 species
CCUACGGGCGGCUGCAGUGGGGAAUAUUGGACAAUGGGCGAAAGCCUGAUCCAGCCAUGCCGCGUGUGUGAAGAAGGCCUUCGGGUUGUAAAGCACUUUCAGUGGGGAAGAAAGCCUUGGGGCUAAUACCCUCGAGGAAGGACAUCACCCACAGAAGAAGCACCGGCUAACUCCGUGCCAGCAGCCGCGGUAAUACGAAGGGUGCGAGCGUUAAUCGGAAUUACUGGGCGUAAAGCGCGCGUAGGCGGUCUGAUAAGCCGGUUGUGAAAGCCCCGGGCUCAACCUGGGAACGGCAUCCGGAACUGUCAGGCUAGAGUGCAGGAGAGGAAGGUAGAAUUCCCGGUGUAGCGGUGAAAUGCGUAGAGAUCGGGAGGAAUACCAGUGGCGAAGGCGGCCUUCUGGACUGACACUGACGCUGAGGUGCGAAAGCGUGGGUAGCAAACAGGAUUAGAUACCCUGGUAGUC